UAUCGGAACGUGCCCAGUCUGGGGGAUAACGUAGAGAAAUUUACGCUAAUACCGCAUACGAUCUAAGGAUGAAANCGGGGGAUUCGCAAGAACCUCACGCGAUUGGAGCGGCUGAUAUCAGAUUAGGUUGUUGGUGAGGUAAAAGCUCACCAAGCCGACGAUCUGUAGCNGGUUUGAGAGAACGACCAGCCACACUGGGACUGAGACACGGCCCAGACUCCUACGGGAGGCAGCAAUGGGGAAUUUUGGACAAUGGGCGAAAGCCUGAUCCAGCAAUGCCGCGUGCAGGAAGAAGGCCUUCGGGUUGUAAACUGCUUUUGUACGGAACGAAAAGGCUCUUUCUAAUAAAGAGGGCCCAUGACGGUACCGUAAGAAUAAGCACCGGCUAACUACGUG
rnacentral:rRNA from 1 species